rnacentral:rRNA from 1 species
GCAAGUUGAGCGGUAAGGCCCCUUCGGGGGUACACGAGCAGCGAACGGGUGAGUAUCGCGUGGGUAAUCUACCUAGAGGUGGGGGAUAGCCUCGGGAAACCGGGGGUAAUACCGCAUAUGUCUUGGAUGGCGGAAGCCGACCUGGGCAAAGGCGGGGCUCCUUCGGGACCUGUCGCCACUGGAUGAGCCCGCGUCCGAUUAGCUUGUUGGUGAGGUAAUGGCUCACCAAGGCGACGAUCGGUAGCCGGCCUGAGAGGGUGAAC